rnacentral:lncRNA from 1 species
GGUCAUCCUGUACCUGGCCUGGACCUCUUUACAGGACACUGCCCCUCAUGUUUGUUUUCUGGUUCUACACAGCAAACACUUUCUUUUUUUUUUUUUUAAGAUUUUAUUUAUUUAUUCGACAGAGAUAGAGACAGCCAGCGAGAGAGGGAACACAAGCAGGGGGAGUGGGAGAGGAAGAAGCAGGCUCAUAGCGGAGGAGCCUGAUGUGGGGCUCGAUCCCAUAACACCGGGAUCACGCCCUGAGCUGAAGGCAGACGCUUAACUGCUGUGCCACCCAGGCGCCCCAGCAAACACUUUCUGAUGUCACUCUUUCAAUUAUGGGCUUGUUUGUUGCCUCCCUUGUGACAAUUAAGCUCCACAGAGUCGAAGUUCUGGUCGAACAGCUGAAUCUGGGUCACACAGCACAGGCCCCAAUCAUGGGGGAAGCUCAUGGUUCCCGUUGAACAGUGGAUGGAUGGAUGGAUGGAUGGAUGGAUGGAUGGAUGGAACCACUCAUUUAUUCAUGAUUACUUUGUUUGAAGCCCUGGAUAUGCUCUUUCCAGAGUGCCUGUCAUCCUUGCAAAAGCAGGCAUGGUAUUAUUCCUGCACAUUUCAGAAAUGAGGAAGCUUGAAAUGACCAGCAGUUUCACUUGCCCAAGGACACUCCGUGAUUAGGUGUUGUAUCCAAGAUUUGAAUCCACAUCUGCUCAAGCCCAGACCUGGUCACCGUUCCUCCACUCAGCAUCUGCCUCUGCUGAGCAACCACUUGCUCCUCAGCUUCUCAUAUCCUUUAAAUUGUGGGGGGAAAAUCCUAAACAGCUAAAAAAUAUUCAUAGAUUUAUAAUAGAUUGAAUUUAUGAAAUUGAGUUAAUUAAAUGAGAUGUUCCCUGUUAAAAGAGCCUUCAGAGAAUAUGAGACAUUAUUUUUCCUAAACAUCAGGCAUCUUACUAACGUGUCUAUGGGUGAGAGAAGUCUGUCCUUCAGAGGAUUUUGUAGUAUUGCACUGAGCCCAGAUGUGUACUAAGCCAGCAGGAACAGACACACAGGAUAGGAAUGAAGAAGGAGGAGUGCAAGGAGGAUAUGAAGGCCACAAUAAUAAUGAAACAACAAGGUUCAAAGUUGUUUUGGAUCCAACAAACUCUGUCUCCUUGGAUUCUACAAACAGAGCACAGGCUAGCUGGGUUGCAGUUGAUUUUUGCUGUCAUUUCCUGGUGCAAAGCCAGGUUCAUUGUGUGACUCCUUCCCUCAUUUCUGGGAGGAAUUAAGGUAGUGAGUAGGAGAAUAAAAGGAGGACCUCUAGGCUCUCAACUGCAGCAUGAGUUCUGUCCUCUGUUAUGGACCAGACAUCCAGAUCUGCCUCCACCCAUGAAGCUGCUGAGAGUCCUUGUGCUGGUUGCCCUUCCACUUUCCUGCUUUGCAGGUGAUUUCUUUUCUUUCUUUUUUUUAUAAUAAUAUUUUUUAUUAUAUUAUGUUAGUCACCAUACAGUACAUCCCUGGUUUUUUGAUGUAAAUUUCGAUGAUUCAUUAGUUG